rnacentral:rRNA from 1 species
GCCGCGUGAGUGAAGAAGGCCUUCGGGUUGUAAAGCUCUUUCGGCCGGGAAGAAAUCGCAUUCUCUAACAUAGGAUGUGGAUGACGGUACCGGACUAAGAAGCACCGGCUAACUACGUGCCAGCAGCCGCGGUAAUACGUAGGGUGCGAGCGUUAAUCGGAAUUACUGGGCGUAAAGCGUGCGCAGGCGGUUUUGUAAGACAGAUGUGAAAUCCCCGGGCUCAACCUGGGAACUGCGUUUGUGACUGCAAGGCUAGAGUACGGCAGAGGGGGGUGGAAUUCCACGUGUAGCAGUGAAAUGCGUAGAGAUGUGGAGGAACACCGAUGGCGAAGGCAGCCCCCUGGGCCUGUACUGACGCUCAUGCACGAAAGCGUGGGGAGCAAACAGGAUUAGAUACCCUGGUAGUCCACGCCCUAAACGAUGUCGACUAGUCGUUCGGAGCAGCAAUGCACUGAGUGACGCAGCUAACGCGUGAAGUCGACCGCCUGGGGGAGUACGGCCGCAAGGUUAAAACUCAAAGGAAUU